rnacentral:rRNA from 1 species
GACGAACGCUGGCGGCGUGCCUAAUACAUGCAAGUCGAGCGCAGGAAGCUGACGGAACUCUUCGGAGGGAAGGCAGUGGAAUGAGCGGCGGACGGGUGAGUAACACGUAAGGAACCUGCCUCAAGGAUUGGGAUAACUCCGAGAAAUCGGAGCUAAUACCGGAUAGUUCAACGGACCGCAUGGUCCGCUGAUGAAAGGCGCUCCGGCGUCACCUUGAGAUGGCCUUGCGGUGCAUUAGCUAGUUGGUGGGGUAACGGCCCACCAAGGCGACGAUGCAGAGCGGACCUGAGAGGGUGAUCGGCCACACUGGGACUGAGACACGGCCCAGACUCCUACGGGAGGCAGCAGUAGGGAAUCUUCCACAAUGGACGAAGGUCUGAUGGAGCAACGCCGCGUGAGUGAUGAAGGUUUUCGGAUCGUAAAACUCUGUUGUAAGGGAAGAACACGUACGAGAGGAAAUGCUCGUACCUUGACGGUACCUUACGAGAAAGCCACGGCUAACUACGUGCCAGCAGCCGCCGUAAUAC